rnacentral:rRNA from 1 species
UGGGGAAUAUUGCACAAUGGGCGCAAGCCUGAUGCAGCCAUGCCGCGUGUAUGAAGAAGGCCUUCGGGUUGUAAAGUACUUUCAGCGGGGAGGAAGGGAGUAAAGUUAAUACCUUUGCUCAUUGACGUUACCCGCAGAAGAAGCACCGGCUAACUCCGUGCCAGCAGCCGCGGUAAUACGGAGGGUGCAAGCGUUAAUCGGAAUUACUGGGCGUAAAGCGCACGCAGGCGGUUUGUUAAGUCAGAUGUGAAAUCCCCGGGCUCAACCUGGGAACUGCAUCUGAUACUGGCAAGCUUUAGUCUCGUAGAGGGGGGUAGAAUUCCAGGUGUAGCGGUGAAAUGCGUAGAGAUCUGGAGGAAUACCGGUGGCGAAGGCGGCCCCCUGGACGAAGACUGACGCUCAGGUGCGAAAGCGUGGGGAGCAAACAGG